rnacentral:rRNA from 1 species
CCUACGGGUGGCAGCAGUGAGGAAUAUUGGUCAAUGGGCGUAAGCCUGAACCAGCCAAGUCGCGUGAGGGAUGAAGGUUCUAUGGAUCGUAAACCUCUUUUAUAAGGGAAUAAAGUGCGGGACGUGUCCCGUUUUGUAUGUACCUUAUGAAUAAGGAUCGGCUAACUCCGUGCCAGCAGCCGCGGUAAUACGGAGGAUCCGAGCGUUAUCCGGAUUUAUUGGGUUUAAAGGGUGCGUAGGCGGGUUAUCAAGUCAGCGGUAAAAUCGUGGAGCUCAACUCCAUCCAGCCGUUGAAACUGAUGAUGUGGAGUGGGCGAGAAGUAUGCGGAAGGCGCAGUGUAGCGGUGAAAUGCUUAGAUAUUGCGCAGAACUCCGAUUGCGAAGGCAGCAUACCGGCGGCGAUCUGACGCUGAGGCACGAAAGCGUGGGUAUCGAACAGGAUUAGAUACCCUAGUAGUC